rnacentral:rRNA from 1 species
AUGAGCGAUGAUGAGGAGCAUGGUCUGAACGAGGAUACCACUGAUAGCCACAGCGGCAAGGGAAAGAAGGGCUCAACAUGGCAGCGGAUGAAGUGGACCGAUUCAAUGGUUAAGCUUUUAGUUACUUUAGCGUCCUACACUGGUGAGGAUCCAGGAGCUGAUUUAGGAUGUGGAAGGAGGAACUGUGCAAUGGUGCAUAAGAAAGGCAAGUGGAAGGCAAUAUCAAAGGUGAUGGGCGAGCGAGGUUGCAAUGUGUCACCGCAGCAGUGCGAGGAUAAGUUCAAUGACCUCAAUAAGAGAUACAAAAGGCUUACAGAUAUCCUUGGUCGGGGUAGAACUUGCAAGGUUGUGGAGAAUCCAGCACUUCUGGAUCGCAUGGAUAAUCUCUCUGACAAGUUGAAAGAUGACGCAAGGAAGACACUGAGCUCAAGGCACUUAUUCUAUGAGGAGAUGUGCUCCUACCAUAAUAAUAACCGGAUUAGUUUGCCUGAAGAUCCUGCACUUCAGCAUUCACUGCAGUUUGCUCUUAGGUGCAAAGAGGAAAAUGAUAUGAUGCGAGGAGCAAGUGGAGAUGCCGAUGAAGAUGACCAGAGUUCAGACUCUGAUUAUGAGGAAGAUAAUGAUGAGGACCAUCAUGUGGCACAUAGCAAUAAAGGGGGCUUACCCAUGCAAAAGAAGAUGCGGUAUACAGCAGAUCACGAGGAUGCUAGUUUUGGGAACUCUUUGAGUGCACACGAAUGUAGCCGGAGGACUAAUCCCCAUGGAAUCGCACUAGAUAUCAACGAAGUUGUUCCAGAUGGAACGAGCUUGGCUUUGACAUAG